GGGCAGCUGGCUGGCCCAGGGAAGUGGUUAAUGCCAAUCUUCCCUUCUAGGGCAAGGUUCUUGAGCAGCCCAACCCAGGUUUGGAGGGACUCGCCCCCGAUACACACAGGUGUGCCAGAGGCAACCCAGUGCAACCUAGAGAUUCACACUGUUGCAGCAGAAGUUCUGAGGAAACAGAAGCCUUCAGACUCGCUCUUCCUUCCACAGCUCUUUUGUCUACUUCUUCCCCUCCUGAUACAUCUGGGGUCUGACUUGCGCCAAGCAGAAUGUGGAGGGCUGUGAACAGAUGCCCCAGGAAAGAACAGGGGAGCGAAGCCACAGCACAGCUACAUACUUCGUCUCUGCUUUCUCAUGUGUUUUAAAGCUACAAAGUGAAUUGCAAGGUCACCCCCUAGUCAAGGUACCCCAUGUGCAGCAUAGUUCUAUGUAUCCACUGAUUAUGUCCCACAACUAGAGACAAGUGCCACAUUCUGCCACAUCAUCUGGUGCAAGAAAUCUGCCCACUGAUGCCAUUUGGCCCAGGGAAACCUGCAGUUUUAUUCCUGCGUGUUAAGACAUCAGCGACAGCAUUAUACCAAAGAAG